rnacentral:rRNA from 1 species
GAUGAACGCUGGCUACAGGCUUAACACAUGCAAGUCGAGGGGAAACGACGGGGAAGCUUGCUUCCCCGGGCGUCGACCGGCGCACGGGUGAGUAACGCGUAUCCAAUCUGCCUCUGACUGAGGGAUAACCCGUCGAAAGUCGGCCUAAUACCUCAUGGCAUCGUCUGCGGGCAUCCAACGACGAUUAAAGAUUUCAUCGGUCAGGGAUGGGGAUGCGUCUGAUUAGCUUGUUGGCGGGGUAACGGCCCACCAAGGCUACGAUCAGUAGGGGUUCUGAGAGGAAGGUCCCCCACAUUGGAACUGAGACACGGUCCAAACUCCUACGGGAGGCAGCAGUUAGGAAUAUUGGGCAAUGGGCGGGAGCCUGAACCAGCCAAGUAGCGUGCAGGAUGACGGCCCUAUGGGUUGUAAACUGCUUUUAUGCGGGGAUAAAGUGAGGGACGUGUCCUUCAUUGCAGGUACCGCAUGAAUAAGGACCGGCUAAUUCCGUG